CAAGUCGAGCGGAAACGAUGGUAGCUUGCUACCAGGCGUCGAGCGGCGGACGGGUGAGUAACGCGUGAGAAUCUGCCCAUUUGUGGGGGAUAACUCGGGGAAACUCGAGCUAAUACCGCAUAAUCCCUACGGGGGAAAGCAGGGGACCUUCGGGCCUUGUGCAGAUGGAUGAGCUCGCGUCGGAUUAGCUUGUUGGUGAGGUAAAGGCUCACCAAGGCGACGAUCCGUAGCUGGUCUGAGAGGAUGAUCAGCCACACCGGGACUGAGACACGGCCCGGACUCCUACGGGAGGCAGCAGUGGGGAAUCUUGGACAAUGGGGGCAACCCUGAUCCAGCCAUGCCGCGUGUGUGAAGAAGGCCUUCGGGUUGUAAAGCACUUUCAGUAGGGAGGAAGGCUUACCGCUAAUAACGGUGAGUACUUGACGUUACCUACAGAAGAAGCACCGGCUAAUUUCGUGCCAGCAGCCGCGGUAAUACGAAAGGUGCGAGCGUUAAUCGGAAUUACUGGGCGUAAAGCGCGCGUAGGCGGUUUGUUAAGUCAGAUGUGAAAGCCCCGGGCUCAACCUGGGAAUUGCAUUUGAAACUGGCAGGCUAGAGUGCAGUAGAGGGAGGUGGAAUUUCCGGUGUAGCGGUGAAAUGCGUAGAGAUCGGAAGGAACACCAGUGGCGAAGGCGGCCUCCUGGACUGACACUGACGCUGAGGUGCGAAAGCGUGGGGAGCAAACAGGAUUAGAUACCCUGGUAGUCCACGCCGUAAACGAUGUCUACUAGUCGUUGGGAAUCUUAGUAUUCUUGGUGACGAAGUUAACGCGAUAAGUAGACCGCCUGGGGAGUACGGCCGCAAGGUUAAAACUCAAAUGAAUUGACGGGGGCUCGCACAAGCGUGAGCAUGUGUUUAAUUCGAUGCAACGCGAAGAACCUUACAGGCCUUGACAUCCUUGGACUUUCUAGAGAUAGAUUGGUGCUUCGGGAGCUAGUGACAGUGCUGCAUGCUGUCGUCAGCUCGUGUCGUGAGAUGUUGGUAAGUCCGUACGAGGGCACCUUGUCCUAGUGCAGCACUCGUGACUCUAGGAGACUGCGUGACUAUCGAGAGUGGACGACGUCAGUCUCAUGCCUACGCCUGGCUAACACUGCUAAUGCAGUACAGAGGCACGUAAGUCCGAAGUCUAGCUAAUC
rnacentral:rRNA from 1 species